GACGAACGCUGGCGGCGUGCUUAACACAUGCAAGUCGAACGGAAAGGCCCUGCUUUUGUGGGGUGCUCGAGUGGCGAACGGGUGAGUAACACGUGAGUAACCUGCCCUUGACUUUGGGAUAACUUCAGGAAACUGGGGCUAAUACCGGAUAGGAGCUCCUGCUGCAUGGUGGGGGUUGGAAAGUUUCGGCGGUUGGGGAUGGACUCGCGGCUUAUCAGCUUGUUGGUGGGGUAGUGGCUUACCAAGGCUUUGACGGGUAGCCGGCCUGAGAGGGUGACCGGCCACAUUGGGACUGAGAUACGGCCCAGACUCCUACGGGAGGCAGCAGUGGGGAAUAUUGCACAAUGGGCGGAAGCCUGAUGCAGCAACGCCGCGUGCGGGAUGACGGCCUUCGGGUUGUAAACCGCUUUCGCCUGUGACGAAGCGUGAGUGACGGUAAUGGGUAAAGAAGCACCGGCUAACUACGUGCCAGCAGCCGCGGUGAUACGUAGGGUGCGAGCGUUGUCCGGAUUUAUUGGGCGUAAAGGGCUCGUAGGUGGUUGAUCGCGUCGGAAGUGUAAUCUUGGGGCUUAACCCUGAGCGUGCUUUCGAUACGGGUUGACUUGAGGAAGGUAGGGGAGAAUGGAAUUCCUGGUGGAGCGGUGGAAUGCGCAGAUAUCAGGAGGAACACCAGUGGCGAAGGCGGUUCUCUGGGCCUUUCCUGACGCUGAGGAGCGAAAGCGUGGGGAGCGAACAGGCUUAGAUACCCUGGUAGUCCACGCUGUAAACGGUGGGUACUAGGUGUGGGGUCCAUUCCACGGGUUCCGUGCCGUAGCUAACGCUUUAAGUACCCCGCCUGGGGAGUACGGCCGCAAGGCUAAAACUCAAAGGAAUUGACGGGGCCCCGCACAAGCGGCGGAGCAUGCGGAUUAAUUCGAUGCAACGCGUAGAACCUUACCUGGGUUUGACAUGGAUCGGGAGCGCUCAGAGAUGGGUGUGCCUCUUUUGGGGUCGGUUCACAGGUGGUGCAUGGCUGUCGUCAGCUCGUGUCGUGAGAUGUUGGGUUAAGUCCCGCAACGAGCGCAACCCUUGUUCACUGUUGCCAGCACGUUAUGGUGGGGACUCAGUGGAGACCGCCGGGGUCAACUCGGAGGAAGGUGGGGAUGACGUCAAGUCAUCAUGCCCCUUAUGUCCAGGGCUUCACGCAUGCUACAAUGGCUGGUACAGAGAGUGGCGAGCCUGUGAGGGUGAGCGAAUCUCGGAAAGCCGGUCCCAGUUCGGAUUGGGGUCUGCAACUCGACCUCAUGAAGUCGGAGUCGCUAGUAAUCGCAGAUCAGCAACGCUGCGAUGAAUACGUUCCCGGG
rnacentral:rRNA from 1 species